ensembl:lncRNA
AAAUCUAUGACCAUAGUGUAAGUUAAUCAUAAACCUAGACGUAAGAGCUCUAAAAUUAGAUGAGUAAGGACAUCUACCAUAAAUUUGCCAUUGCUCAGGAAGAAAGCAAUAUAGUAGGUAGGGGGGCUGCAUACACUGUCAGACUCCAUCAAGAUCAGGUGAUGCCUCCAUUUGUCUUGUUGACUUGUUUUUCUUUUUCUCAUUCUCUCUCCAUCUCCUUCUUCUUCUGAAAAAAGAAAGAGAAUGAGAGAGAGAGCUUUUAUGACAGGUAGCUGACUUAAAUGCCACUUCCUUCCUUUACCAGACCCUUUUUGAUGACAUCAAUUGUUAGAGCUUCCUCAUCUACCCCAAAUGCUUUUUAUUUCUGCUUUCUUUCUUUAAACCAGAUUUCAUCUGUGGUGGGAGCUCCUGAUCAGGAUUUCUCAAGAACUGUCAAGAAAAAGGAGAAAGAACCAAAGAGGAAGCAUCACGAUCGGACAACAAACAAAAAAUUUUACUCUGUACAGCAAGUCAAUGGGUUUCAAAUCUUUAUCUACCUAGAACUUCCCAGUGACACAAGGUUAGUAGGGCUUUGCACAUAAGCACAAAUUGUCACUAGGUAAGUAUUAUUUAACUAAGGAAG